CAGUAGCCGCGGGAACACGUAGGGCGCAAGCGUUAUCCGGAAUUAUUGGGCGUAAAGAGCUCGUAGGCGGUUUGUCGCGUCUGCCGUGAAAGUCCGGGGCUCAACCCCGGAUCUGCGGUGGGUACGGGCAGACUAGAGUGAUGUAGGGGAGACUGGAAUUCCUGGUGUAGCGGUGAAAUGCGCAGAUAUCAGGAGGAACACCGAUGGCGAAGGCAGGUCUCUGGGCAUUAACUGACGCUGAGGAGCGAAAGCAUGGGGAGCGAACAGGAUUAGAUACCCCGGUAGUCCCUGUCUCUUAUAA
rnacentral:rRNA from 1 species